UACGUAGGGUGCAAGCGUUGUCCGGAAUUAUUGGGCGUAAAGAGCUCGUAGGCGGUUCGUCGCGUCGGCUGUGAAAACCCGGAGUUCAACUCCGGGCCUGCAGUCGAUACGGGCGGACUCGAGUUCGGCAGGGGAGACUGGAAUUCCUGGUGUAGCGGUGAAAUGCGCAGAUAUCAGGAGGAACACCGGUGGCGAAGGCGGGUCUCUGGGCCGAUACUGACGCUGAGGAGCGAAAGCGUGGGGAGCGAACAGG
rnacentral:rRNA from 1 species